UCCCAGACUCCUACGGGAGGCAGCAGUGGGGAAUAUUGCACAAUGGGGGAAACCCUGAUGCAGCGACGCCGCGUGAGUGAAGAGGUAAUUCGUUAUGUAAAGCUCUCUCAGCAGGGAAGAAAAUGACGGUACCUGAGUAAGAAGCCCCGGCUAACUACGUGCCAGCAGCCGCGGUAAUACGUAGGGGGCAAGCGUUAUCCGGAUUUACUGGGUGUAAAGGGAGCGUAGACGGCAGUGCAAGUCUGGAGUGAAAGGCGGGGGCUCAACCCCCGGACUGCUCUUGGAACUGCGUGGCUGGAGUGCAGGAGGGGCAGGCGGAAUUCCUGGUGUAGCGGUGAAAUGCGUAGAUAUCAGGAGGAACACCGGUGGCGAAGGCGGCUUACUGGACAGUGACUGACGUUGAGGCUCGAAAGCGUGGGGAGCGAACAGGAUUAGAUACCCGAGUA
rnacentral:rRNA from 1 species